rnacentral:rRNA from 1 species
UACGGGGGGGGCAAGCGUUGUUCGGAAUUACUGGGCGUAAAGGGCUCGUAGGUGGCCAACUAAGUCGGACGUGAAAUCCCUCGGCUUAACCGGGGAACUGCGUCCGAUACUGGUUGGCUUGAGUUUGGGAGAGGGAUGCGGAAUUCCCAGUGUAGCGGUGAAAUGCGUAGAUAUCGGGAGGAACAUCAGUGGCGAAGGCGGCUACCUGGCCCAAUACUGACACUCAGGUGCGACAGCGUGGGGAGCAAACAGG